ACACGUACUACAAUGCUACGGACAAAGGGCAGCAAACUCGCGAGAGCUAGCAAAUCCCAUAAACCGUGGCUCAGUUCAGAUCGUAGGCUGCAACUCGCCUACGUGAAGUAGGAAUCGCUAGUAAUCGCAGGUCAGCAUGCUGCGGUGAAUACGUUCCCGGGCCUUGUACACACCGCCCGUCACACCAUGGAAGUUGGCCAUGCCCGAAGUCGUUACUCCAACCCUUGUGGAGGAGGACGCCGAAGGUGGGGCUAAUGACUGGGGUGAAGUCGUAACAAGGUAGCCGUACCGGAAGGUGCGGCUGGAUCACCUCCUAACAGGGAGACAACAAAAUGUUUAAUAUUAUUAUUUUGUCACCUUAGGUCGAUCGGUAUCUCACGUUCUUAAUUUGUUAAGAAUUUCAUUUCCUAAGUUUUUCUAGGUCACACCCAUUAUUUUUCCUGGGCCAUUAGCUCAGGUGGUUAGAGCGCACCCCUGAUAAGGGUGAGGUCCCUGGUUCAAGUCCAGGAUGGCCCAUAUCUCUAUGUUGGGGGUAUAGCUCAGUUGGUAGAGCGCCUGCUUUGCAAGCAGGAUGUCAGCGGUUCGAGUCCGCUUACCUCCACUGAUUACCACCUCUUCCAUAACUGGUAGAAAGGAAUUGUUUUGAGUUGUGAUUAUUAUUCUGAACGAAUCUAGCUUCCUAAUGAAAUCAUUAAGAUGCUGGACUCAUUGAAUUAAUUUCAUUGUUUUCAGAGAACCUUGACAACUGCAUAGAUUUUUUUAAAGACAAUAAGCAUCUUUAAUGAUGCAGAUUUAUUAUUUGUGCGAAUGCAUUAAUAACAAUUCUGUUAAGCUGAUGCUUCAAUUUUUGAAGUUAUUGGUCAAGCUACAAAGGGCUCACGGAGGAUACCUAGGCACACAGAGGCGAUGAAGGACGUGGUUACCUGCGAUAAGUCUCGGGGAGU
rnacentral:sRNA from 1 species